rnacentral:sRNA from 1 species
AUGCACCACUCUCAACAUCGCGGGUCUGAGCGCGCCGUCCGCACCCACCUGAUGACCGCACGCUACGUUGCGUUAGUC